UGCCAUUCCGAGGGGUGCUUUUCUUGACGAAAAGCUGAGAUUGCCACGAGCUAAACCCUUUGAACCUGAUCCGGGUAAUGCCGGCGAAGGGACGGGACCUGAGCCAUUC
rnacentral:ncRNA from 2 species